GAAGCUGGCUAGACAGUCGCCGUCACACUUUGCUUGCCAGUUUACUGGCGUAGCAAAUUGGAGAAGACCCUUGCGGUCUCCUUGAAGUGAGGGAGGAAAGUCCGGGCUGCAAAGAGCGGGAUGACGGUUAACGGCCGUCCGCCGUGAGGCGAGGAAUAGGGCCACAGAGACGAGCGUAUUAAGUUACGGUGAAACGCGGUAACCUCCAUUCGCAGCAAGACCAAAUAGGCUGGCAUUGGCGUGGCUCGCGUCGCCAGCGGGUAGGUUGCUUGAGCGCAUGAGUAAUUGUGUGCCUAGAUGAAUGACUGUUACGUGCAGUAAUGCACGACAGAACCCGGCUUAUCGGCCAGCUUCGUUU
rnacentral:RNase_P_RNA from 1 species